GAUGAACGCUAGCGGGAGGCCUAACACAUGCAAGCCGAGCGGUAGAGUCUCUUCGGGGACUUGAGAGCGGCGUACGGGUGCGGAACACGUGUGCAACCUGCCUUUAUCAGGGGGAUAGCCUUUCGAAAGGAAGAUUAAUACCCCAUAAUAUAUUGAGUGGCAUCACUUGAUAUUGAAAACUCCGGUGGAUAGAGAUGGGCACGCGCAAGAUUAGAUAGUUGGUGAGGUAACGGCUCACCAAGUCAGUGAUCUUUAGGGGGCCUGAGAGGGUGAUCCCCCACACUGGUACUGAGACACGGACCAGACUCCUACGGGAGGCAGCAGUGAGGAAUAUUGGACAAUGGGUGAGAGCCUGAUCCAGCCAUCCCGCGUGAAGGACGACUGCCCUAUGGGUUGUAAACUUCUUUUGUACAGGGAUAAACCCAGAUACGUGUAUCUGGCUGAAGGUACUGUACGAAUAAGCACCGGCUAACUCCGUG
rnacentral:rRNA from 1 species